CACUUGAUGGUACAUGGUGUGCGCCUGCUUGCACUGUUUGAGCUUGCUAGUCAGCAUAAGCAGGAGGUCCCGGUUCAAUUCCGGGUUGGGUGA